UACAGAGGUCCCAAGCGUUGUUCGGAUUCACUGGGCGUAAAGGGUGCGUAGGUGGUGAGGUAAGUCGGAUGUGAAAUCUCCGAGCUCAACUCGGAAAUGGCAUUGGAAACUACCUUGCUCGAGGGUUGGAGGGGGGACUGGAAUGCUUGGUGUAGCAGUGAAAUGCGUAGAUAUCAAGCGGAACACCAGUGGCGAAGGCGAGUCCCUGGACAACUCCUGACACUGAGGCACGAAAGCUAGGGAGCAAACAGG
rnacentral:rRNA from 1 species